UACGUAGGGGGCAAGCGUUGUCCGGAAUCAUUGGGCGUAAAGCGCGUGUAGGCGGUCCGGUAAGUCCGCUGUGAAAGUCCAGGGCUCAACCCUGGGAUGCCGGUGGAUACUGGCGGGCUAGAGUACGGAAGAGGCGAGUGGAAUUCCCGGUGUAGCGGUGAAAUGCGCAGAUAUCGGGAGGAACACCAAUUGCGAAGGCAGCUCGCUGGGACGUUACUGACGCUGAGACGCGAAAGCGUGGGGAGCAAACAGG
rnacentral:rRNA from 1 species